AAAGGCAACGGAGGAACUGGGUUA
rnacentral:siRNA from 1 species